GACCCGACUCCCGGAAGAUGAGUUCCGGAGUGCAGCUGGCACUGGAGGGCAGCUGCUCUGGCUGCUUUCACUCCCCUCCCUCUCCGUCGCCUGCCCCCUUCCUCCUCUAGUUCGUGCCAAGUGCCCGUGGCUACCAGCGCCACCGCCGCCUGGUCAACAGGAACCCAGAUUUUUGCCCCGCGCUGCCGAUCCACGCGGCCGCGCCUCUAAAAGCUUUUGCCACAGCAACGCUCUCAGCAGCUGGCUCCUUGCUGAGAGAGGGAGAAGGCGGAGGAGAUGAAGACCCGGAGCUCCGCGAGGGGGGAGCCCAGGCGCCUCGGGAAUGUGGCUCUCCUGGCCCUCAUGCUCUGCUCCGUCGUCGCCCUCUCCCUCAUCCGGGGGAGGUUCGCCCCAAUCGUCAACAGUGCCGGAGAUGCCAUCAAAUCCGAAGAGGAGGCGGCCGCGGUGAGCAAGGCGGCCGUCAACAUUGACACCGGCGACGGCGCCGACGAGGCCGCCGCGGAAGCUGCUGCGGAGGAGAAAGACAAGGAGGAGGCCCAGCCCAAGCCCGCCGCCGCGGCCGCCAAGCCGGUGUGCUACGAGACGAGCCACCGCUCCGACACCUGCGAGGCGGCCGGCGACGUGCGCGUGAUGGGGAGCAGCCAGACAGUGUACGUCGACACGCUGGACCGGGAGUGGAAGACCAAGCCGUACUGCCGGAAGCACGACAACUUCGCGCUGUCCCACGUCAAGGAGUGGACCCUCAAGCCGCUCCCCUCCGGCGCGGCGCCGCGGUGCACGGUCAACAGCACGGCCACCGCCUUCGUGCUCUCCACCGGCGGGUUCACGGGCAACCCCUUCCACGACUACACGGACGUGCUGAUCCCGGCCUUCAUCACGGCGCACCAUUUGGGCGGCGAGGUGCAGUUCCUGGUGAGCAGCUACAAGUCGUGGUGGGUGAACCGGUACAUCCAGAUCUUCCAGCAGAUGAGCCGGCACGAGGUGGUGGACAUCGACGCCGACGACGAUGUCCGGUGCUACCGUAACGUGGUGGUGGGGCCGACGUUCCACCGGGAGCUCGGCGUGGACGCGUCCAAGACGCCGUCGGGCUACUCCACGGCCGACUUCCGCAAGAUGCUGCGCGACGCGUUCGGGCUGGAGCGCGCGACGGCCACGCCGAGCGGCGACCAGUGGGACAUCCGGCGCCGGCCGCGGCUGCUGAUCAUCUCGCGGCGCCCCUCCCGCGGCCGCGCGUUCAUGAACGAGCGCGCGAUGGCCGACAUGGCGGCGAGCCUCGGGUUCGACGUGCGGAUCGGGGAGCCCGACACGAGCACGGACACGUCCAAGUUCGCGCGGCUGGUGAACUCGUGCGACGUGAUGGUGGGCGUGCACGGCGCCGGGCUGACCAACAUGGUGUUCCUGCCGGCCGGCGCCGUGGUGGUGCAGGUGGUGCCGUACGGGCGGCUCGAGUGGCUGGCCCGGAACACGUUCGCGGAGCCGUCGGCGGGGAUGGAGGUCCACUACCUGGAGUACGCGGUGCAGCUGGACGAGACGACGCUGAGCGAGCAGUACCCGAGCGACCACCCGGUGCUGAGGGAUCCCAUGGCCAUCCACAAGCAGGGGUGGAACGCGCUCAAGACCACGUACCUGGACAAGCAGAACGUGCGGCCGCACCUGGGGCGCCUCAAGAACACCUUCCUCCAGGCGCUCAAGAUGCUGCCGCACGGACGGGACGAUUAGGAAGGAGGUGAUCUAGACAUCGGAUAUUAGAGGGUAGAUGUAUAGCUUAAUUAAUGAUAAUUACUACUUUUUUGGCGCGCUUCAGUAGCAGCCGCAAGCAAGUAGUAGUGGCAGUGCGACUGUGAAUGGGAUCGCAGGGACAAAUUCUAGUGUUUAACUGUUUAUAAGUUAUCUUUUUCUUUUCUUUUCCAAUCUUCGGGCUCCUUUGGAACGCAGGUGAAACGCGGGUGAAAUGCAGAAAUGAGUUCCACAGGAAUGCUGACGUCAUCAGGCCUUUGGUUUCACAGGAAAGUUUCCGGAUGAAACGAUGGAGGAAAGGGAUGUGUCUCACUGUGCACACAGGAAACCAAAAAUCUGCUUCGACUUCAUGGAAUCGUGGCCAAGAUUCCAGAGGAAUCGAAGUGCUCCCUUUCCUACGCCUUUCCUACGACAGCAGGUUUCCUACGUUUUUCCUGUGUUUACCCCGUGAGCCAAAGAGGGCCUUCCUUUUUGGAUUAUGUAUGGUGCUCUGCUCGCUGCUCCAUGACACAAGUGUAAGGAGCCGGAGGAUUAAUAAAAUCAGAGCGGCGCUUUCUUUUUUUCUUGUAAUUUCUUGUAAACAUAUUUUAUUCAAUUGGAUGGUAGUUGGUGCU